CUUAAAUCGCCCUUUACGGGGAGGUGAUGCUGGAGAACCAUCAGGAUUUUGUUUCUUUGGGUAAGCAUGACUUUCCUCAGUGACUCAGAAUCUGCCAUUGCGUGCGCGUGCAAAGAAUAUGGCUUUUCUUUUCUCACUGGGGCAGAAUUGUACAUCUUUGGAUAGAUCCCUAGGAAGGGUAAAAGGAUGGUUUGUGAGUUUAUUUAUUGUUUGUUGUUUGUUUCUGUUUAAUGCCUGUCUUAGUACUAGGAUUCGGUCGCUGCUUUGAAAACAUGUUGCCUAGGAAAGUAGUAGUAAAAUCCUACCUCCUUACCAAGAGGUGAAGAACAGGUUCCUCUAGAUGUCAAAAAUCAUUCAAAAGAGCGUGAAGUGCAGUCAUAAGGAAGAGUAAUGAAGGAGAGGUAUAGAGGGAGCAUACAGAAUCUUGUAGGAAAAGGAACCACAAGACAGUUUUUUUUUUGUUUUUUGUUUUUUUAAAGAUUUUAUUUUUCCUUUUUCUCCCCAAAGCCCCCCAGUACAUAGUUGUGCAUUUUUACUUGUGGGUCCUUCUGGUUGUGGCAUGUGGGAUGCCGCUUCAGCGUGGCCUGAUGAGUGGUGCCAUGUCCACGCCCAGGAUUCGAACUGGUGAAACCCUGGGCCGCUGAAGCCGAGUUCAUGAACUUAACCACUCGGCCACGGGGCCAACCCCACACAAGACAGUUUUUAAAAUAAGAGAGGAAAGCCUGAGAUAAUGCCAGAACUCCUUGGACCAGUGUAGAUGAACCAGAAGAACAGUAGGCAGAACAGGACAUUGAAACAGAAUUAAGGAGAACUGCUGAGUCCAAGUCACAGAAGUUCCUAAGGCCAGGGGCAGGAAAGUUCAGCAAGGUGGCCAAGGAUGUGGCUGUCAUGUCGGUAAAGUCUCCAUGCAGCCUGAGGGACACCCCGGGCUGAGAGGAAACAGCCUUUUUGAUAUGGAUGGAAUCUGUUGGAUAAGGGAAGGUUGGACUGAGACCCUAGCUUUAAUUAGGUAAAACUGAAAGUGAGUAUGCUCUCUUCUGGGAAUUGUCCUAAGGGAAAAAAUUUUUUUAAAAGGUUUAUCUCAAUUUUCCCUAAAAUUGUGAAAAAAUGGAAACAACAUAGAUACUUGGUAAUAGAGAUUUAGGUAAGUGAAUUAUUGUACAUCCAUAAUGGACCACAGUAUUGUAUGAACCUUGAGGAUGAUAUUUAUACAGUUAGAAAUAUAUUACUGAUAUAUUGUUAAAUGAUAAAAGCAGGGUACAAAAUGAUUGGAACUUGAGUACAUUUAUAGCAUAUAUUUACAUGCAUAGAAAAAGUUUGGAAGACUCUACACCAAAAUUUUAUGCCUAAUUAUCUUGCACCAGUAGGCUUACAGGUGACUUUUCGUUUUCUUUUUUUGGAUUUCUUGAUUGUCUACAAUGAACAUGGAAUAUUUUUAAAUAUUUUAAAAACUACAAAGAAGAAGAGGAAACACAUUUUUAAAUGCAGAGUGAUUAAUGUAAAAUUUGGUGUAGUGGCUCCCUCAUGAGGUGGAAGGAAGAGAAGAUGAGGGGCUUCAAUCUUGGUGUUAACGUUUAUUUCUUAAGUUAGAUGGUGGGUUCGUAGGUGUUUGUUUUGGUCUUUAUGCCUUUCGUAUGUCUUAAAUAUUUAAUAAUGAAUUUAAAAACUAAACACAGAAAAUUAAGGCUUUAUAAAUGUCACUGCUUUAAAUUUUUAAAAGCCAAAGACAUCAUAGUUUCUUUUUAAGGAUUUCUAAAAAAUUGUUUAUUGGUGUUUUCAGUUUUAAGUGUUUUAUAUUAACUGUACGUAAGUUGAAUUAUAUUUCUAAAACUCUUCCAGUUUGAUUUCUAGUUUCAUCAAAUUCAAUACAAUUGCACAGAAUUAUAAUUAAGGGAUAAAAAUUUAUUUAAAAAACUACAAAAGAAAAUGGGAUGGCUUCUUCACUUGAGUUCCUUGAGGGGCAGAACCUUCUCCGUGUUCCACUCCCCUCAGCUAAGAAUUUUCCCUCAAUUUGCAAGAAUACUAAUUUCAUCUGGAGGAGGUUCCUAGAUAUUUAUCAGGGAAAAAUAGUGAACUAUCUCAAUAGAUACAGAUCAGAUUUUCUAGAAAGUCAGUCCUGACGUACCCUUCAGAGAAGGGAAAUUAUCCUCUUCUUCUAGAAAUAAGCAUGUGCUGUCUGGAUAGUUCCAUUUCCCUCCCUCGAGAGUAAGGAAAGUAAUUAAACCCUGAGUUGGCUAGGGAUUUCCAUCCCAAAUAGCCAUUUGUCAUUUUGUUCUCUGUGAGCAGAACUUCUAAUUCUUAAAUCUGGUGUGAUUUUCCAGUUGAAGAGAGGCAAAGAGCCAUGGAAACUUGAUCAUCAGGAAGCUGAGGAGAGAGAAGUCCCAGGAAGCACUUCUCUAGGAAUGCAAGGCUAGACUUAAGAGCCAGGACUCAACUGAAAAGCAGGAUGUUUCUAAAAAAGUAAAGUCAUUACUGAAAAUACAAGACAUGAAUGAAAAACCUCAGAAAAGAUGGUCCUCUGGGUCCUGUACUUGGCCCAGAAAACCCUGAGGGCACAAAGAAAGAAAAUGCUUCAGGGGAGACUUUGAAGAAAUCGUCCCCCAAGGAGAAGGACUCAGGCAAGGAUACACUCUUGCCAAACAAACUGACAAUAAGGAGAUACAGUUGGAAGGCAGUGUAUGUGGGAAGACCUUAUAUAACCAUUUACCCCUCACUUGCCAUCAGAGGACCCACACUGAAGAGAAGCCCUACGACUAUAAAGAAUGCGGGAAAGCCUUCAGCUAUAGGAGUAGUCUUAAGAAACAUUUGAUGUCUCACACUGGCAAGAGCACCUCUGAAGGCAGCGAAUGUCAGGAAACUUUCCAUGACCAAUUAACCCUUAUUGAACAUCAGCGAAGUCAUACCAGAGGGAAGCCUUUUGAAUGUAAUGAAUGUGACAAGGCUUUCUUUGUCCACUUGUGCUUUACUCCACAUCAGAGAAUUCAUACUGGAGAAAGACCUUGUGAGUGUACAGAAUGUGGGAAAUCCUUUAGCCAGAAAAGCAAUCUCAGUCACCACAUGCUCACUCACCCUGGAGAGUGGCCCUGUGGGUGCAAGGCAUGUGACAAAGCUCUGCUUGACCACUCCUCCCUCGUUCACCACAGGAAAGCGCACACUAGAAAGACCCCUUUUGAAUGUAAUGAGUGUGGGAAAGUUUUCUUUGACCCCUCAUCCCUUAAUAAACAUCAGAAAAUUCAUAGUGGAGACAAGCCCUAUAAAGGCACUGAAUGUGGGAAAGCCUUCCUCCAGAAAAGACAACUUAUUCAACAUGAAAGAGUGCACACUGGAGAGAAAUCCUGCAAGUGCAGCAUGUGUGGGAAAGUGCUCAGUUGAAAGUCAUCUAUCAUCUGACAUCAGCGACAUUAUGCAGACAGGCUUCAGAGUAUCACGAAGGUGCUUCAGCUGGACAAGGGACCCCCGUAGUGACUUUGAAACCAGAGGCCAACUUGCUUUAACUAUACUCAGUUAGUUGUCUGUUUGCAAAAGUAGUUAGAUAAUGCAUUGCUAAAACCUGCCCUAUAAAUAACGUCUCUGAUGCCUGGGUCACCGUAAUAACAGGUGCUUGAGUUUUUCAGGAUCUGAAAGUCGACUCCUUGUCCAGUUCAGGCUGGUUAAGACAACCAACUCAUCAACUGGACCUGCACAGAUGACCAAUAGGUGACACUGUGACAUCAAGGAGCUGAAAACUCCACCCUCAGAUCAUGGUAAUGCUGCCAUUUUGUGAAUAUGUGUCCUAUGAAGAGCCAUGAAGCUUGACUAGACUUGCACGGAUCAUCAAUUACCUCACUUCUCCUUCCCUCCAAUCAUCUUUUCCCACUUCAGACCAUCCUGCCUGCCCCCUUAUCCCAUAAAUAUCCCUCGUCCCCAUUUUGGGGGGGAGGUAGAUUUGCCCACCUCCUUGCUUGGCUGCCUUGUGAUUAAAUCCUUUCUCUUUGCAGACUCGUCAUCUCAAUGAUUGGCAUAAUUGUGUGCCAGGAAAAACAAACCUGGUUCAGUAACUUCAAGAUAAUGAAGAUUUAUCUUUGAGCGCCUUCUAACUACUGUUAAUU
ensembl:lncRNA